GACGAACGCUGGCGGCGUGCUUAACACAUGCAAGUCGAACGGAAAGGCCCUGCUUUUGUGGGGUGCUCGAGUGGCGAACGGGUGAGUAACACGUGAGUAACCUGCCCUUGACUUUGGGAUAACUUCAGGAAACUGGGGCUAAUACCGGAUAGCAGCUCCUGCUGCAUGGUGGGGGUUGGAAAGUUUCGGCGGUUGGGGAUGGACUCGCGGCUUAUCAGCUUGUUGGUGGGGUAGUGGCUUACCAAGGCUUUGACGGGUAGCCGGCCUGAGAGGGUGACCGGCGACAUUGCGCCUGAGAGACGGACCAGAGUCCAACGGGAGGCAGCAGGGGGGAAUAUUACACAAUGGGCCGAAGCGUGAGACAGAAACGCCGGGUGCGGGAUGACGGCCUUCGGGUUGUAAACCGCUUUCGCCUGUGACGAAGCGUGAGUGACGGUAAUGGGUAAAGAAGCACCGGCUAACUACGUG
rnacentral:rRNA from 1 species